rnacentral:rRNA from 1 species
AUUGAACGCUGGCGGCGUGCUUAACACAUGCAAGUCGUGCGGUAACAGGCGUAGCAAUACGUGCUGACGAGCGGCGAACGGGUGCGUAAUACAUGGGAAUCUGCCCUUUAGUGGGGAAUAACCCGGCGAAAGCCGGGCUAAUGCCGCAUAAGAUCUUCGGAUGAAAGCGGGGGAUCGUAAGACCUCGCGCUGAUGGAUGAGCCCAUGUCGGAUUAGCAGUUGGUGAGGUAACGGCUCACCAAGGCGACGAUCCGUAGCUGGUCUGAGAGGACGGCCAGCCACACUGGGACUGAGACACGGCCCAGACUCCUACGGGAGGCAGCAGUGGGGAAUAUUGGACAAUGGGGGAAACCCUGAUCCAGCGACGCCGCGUGUGUGAAGAAGG